rnacentral:rRNA from 1 species
AAAGGCACACCUGUUUGAGUGUCAUGA